CAAUGAGCAGGUGCAGAAAGGAAGUUCAAUGUUCCUCACAUUGGGACAACCUGGGGAACCAGAGAGAUUUGUCCCACAGAAGUGGGGAUGCCUCAAGGAGAGACCUACCCGGAAGGAUUUGAAAGUGAAUGAGGAACCCUGGGGGGUGCUGACAAUGCUUCCACUUAGGAAGUGCUGUCUCUGGGACAGUGGAGGCAGUCACUGCUUAGGGCACCAGGAGACCAUUCCAGAAGGGCAGGCUGUGCACCUGAGACAACAGCUGAACUGACCAGAGGAGAAAGGUCAGGAUCCUGGGAGCCCGAGCUCAGGUUGGAGCUGAAGGUGGUGGUAGCCAGGACAGACCACAGAAAAGUUUCCUGCAGGGAAGUGGCAGUGGCCUCAGGAAACCGGGCAGAGAAUAGCCAGGGGCCAUCUGAGUUCUCAAACCUCUCCAGGUUCCUCUCUCAAGUGAUGUCGCAGCCCGCACCUGUUCCUCUCACUAGGGCAGGAGGAAGGCCCUGGCCACCCAGCAAGCAGACACUGUCACUAUUUAGAGAAAGAGUGGCAUGGGAGGGAAAACUGCAGAAGGAACUGAAAACUCAGUGCCAUGGACAACUCUUUUAUUGUGAACAUGGCACCUUCUGAUCCAGAGCCUAUCAACUUCCAGAGCUCCUCUCUCUCUCUGUCUCUCUGACUGGCCAGAUUUUUACUAGGCAUUUUUGAAUUGAAAUAUAUUAAUUAAAAGUCUCAACC